rnacentral:piRNA from 1 species
CAGCAGGUGUUUAAUGGGAAGAA